rnacentral:rRNA from 1 species
CCAAUAGCGUAUAUUAAAGUUGCUGCAGUUAAAAAGCUCGUAGUUGAAUUUCGGGACCAAUAUGUCGGUCGUGCUUCGGUACGUACUGUCAUUAUUGGUUUCUCCCUUCUGAAGAACCUUGAUGUCAUUAAUUUGGUGUCUUGGGGAAUCAGGACUGUUACUUUGAAAAAAUUAGAGUGUUUAAAGCAGGCUCGCGCUUGAAUACAUUAGCAUGGAAUAAUGAAAUAGGACGUUUGAUUCUAUUUUGUUGGUUUCUAGGAUCGACGUAAUGAUUAAUAGGGAUAGUUGGGGGCAUUAGUAUUCAAUUGUCAGAGGUGAAAUUCUUGGAUUUAUUGAAGACUAACUACUGCGAAAGCAUUUGCCAAGGAUGUUUUCAUUAAUCAAGAACGAAAGUUAGGGGAUCGAAGACGAUCAGAUACCGUCGUAGUCUUAACCAUAAACUAUGCCGACUAGGGAUCGGAUGAUGUUAAUUUUUUAAUGACUCAUUCGGCGCCUUACGG